AUUGAACGCUGGCGGGAGGCUUAACACAUGCAAGUCGAACGAGUGGCGGACGGGUGAGUAAUAUCUGGGAACCUGCCUGAUGGCGGGGGAUAACUACUGGAAACGGUAGCUAAUACCGCAUACCAUCAGAUGGGCCCAUAUGGGAUUAGCUAGUUGGUGGGGUAAAGGCUCACCAAGGCGACGAUCCCUAGCUGGUUUGAGAGGAUGACCAGCCACACUGGAACUGAGACACGGCCCAGACUCCUACGGGAGGCAGCAGUGGGGAAUAUUGGACAAUGGGGGAAAGCCUGAUGCAGCCAUCCCGCGUGUAUGAAGAAGGCCUUCGGGUUGUAAAGUACUUUUAGCAGGGAAGCGGUACCUGCAGAAUAAGCACCGGCUAACUACGUGCCAGCAGCCGCGGUAAUAC
rnacentral:rRNA from 1 species